rnacentral:rRNA from 1 species
GGUUAAGUGACUAAGCGUACACGGUGGAUGCCUGGGCAGUCAGAGGCGAUGAAGGACGUACUAACUUGCGAUAAGCGCAGAUAAGGCAGUAAGAGCCGUUUGAGUCUGCGAUUUCCGAAUGGGGAAACCCAACUGCAUAAGCAGUUACUGUUAACUGAAUACAUAGGUUAACAGAGCAAACCGGGGGAACUGAAACAUCUAAGUACCCCGAGGAGAAGAAAUCAACCGAGAUUCCGGUAGUAGCGGCGAGCGAACCUGGAUUAGCCCUUAAGCACUCGGUGAAGUAGGUGAACAAGCUGGAAAGCUUGGCGAUACAGGGUGAUAGCCCCGUAACCGACGCUUCAUCGAGCGUGAAAUCGAGUAGGGCGGGACACGUGAUAUCCUGUCUGAAUAUGGGGGGACCAUCCUCCAAGGCUAAAUACUCCUGACUGACCGAUAGUGAACCAGUACCGUGAGGGAAAGGCGAAAAGAACCCCUGUGAGGGGAGUGAAAUAGAACCUGAAACCGUGUACGUACAAGCAGUAGGAGCACCUUCGUGGUGUGACUGCGUACCUUUUGUAUAAUGGGUCAGCGACUUAUAUUCAGUGGCAAGGUUAACCGUAUAGGGGAGCCGUAGCGAAAGCGAGUCUUAACUGGGCGCUCAGUCUCUGGAUAUAGACCCGAAACCGGGUGAUCUAGCCAUGGGCAGGUUGAAGGUUGAGUAACAUCAACUGGAGGACCGAACCGACUAAUGUUGAAAAAUUAGCGGAUGACUUGUGGCUAGGGGUGAAAGGCCAAUCAAACUCGGAGAUAGCUGGUUCUCCCCGAAAGCUAUUUAGGUAGCGCCUCGGACGAAUACUACUGGGGGUAGAGCACUGUUAAGGCUAGGGGGUCAUCCCGACUUACCAACCCUUUGCAAACUCCGAAUACCAGUAAGUACUAUCCGGGAGACACACGGCGGGUGCUAACGUCCGUCGUGGAGAGGGAAACAACCCAGACCGCCAGCUAAGGUCCCAAAGUAUUGCUAAGUGGGAAACGAUGUGGGAAGGCUCAGACAGCUAGGAUGUUGGCUUAGAAGCAGCCAUCAUUUAAAGAAAGCGUAAUAGCUCACUAGUCGAGUCGGCCUGCGCGGAAGAUGUAACGGGGCUAAGCAAUACACCGAAGCUGCGGCAAUGUCUUUUAGACAUUGGGUAGGGGAGCGUUCUGUAAGCCGUUGAAGGUGAAUCGUAAGGUUUGCUGGAGGUAUCAGAAGUGCGAAUGCUGACAUGAGUAACGACAAAGGGGGUGAAAAACCUCCUCGCCGGAAGACCAAGGGUUCCUGUCCAACGUUAAUCGGGGCAGGGUGAGUCGACCCCUAAGGUGAGGCCGAAAGGCGUAAUCGAUGGGAAACGGGUUAAUAUUCCCGUACUUCUGACUAUUGCGAUGGGGGGACGGAGAAGGCUAGGUGGGCCAGGCGACGGUUGUCCUGGUUCAAGUGCGUAGGCUUGAGAGUUAGGUAAAUCCGGCUCUCUCUAAGGCUGAGACACGACGUCGAGCUACUACGGUAGUGAAGUCAUUGAUGCCAUGCUUCCAGGAAAAGCCUCUAAGCUUCAGAUAGUCAGGAAUCGUACCCCAAACCGACACAGGUGGUCGGGUAGAGAAUACCAAGGCGCUUGAGAGAACUCGGGUGAAGGAACUAGGCAAAAUGGUACCGUAACUUCGGGAGAAGGUACGCUCUUGAUGGUGAAGUCCCUCGCGGAUGGAGCUGACGAGAGUCGCAGAUACCAGGUGGCUGCAACUGUUUAUUAAAAACACAGCACUGUGCAAAAUCGCAAGAUGACGUAUACGGUGUGACGCCUGCCCGGUGCCGGAAGGUUAAUUGAUGGGGUUAGCGCAAGCGAAGCUCUUGAUCGAAGCCCCGGUAAACGGCGGCCGUAACUAUAACGGUCCUAAGGUAGCGAAAUUCCUUGUCGGGUAAGUUCCGACCUGCACGAAUGGCGUAAUGAUGGCCACGCUGUCUCCACCCGAGACUCAGUGAAAUUGAAAUCGCUGUGAAGAUGCAGUGUACCCGCGGCUAGACGGAAAGACCCCGUGAACCUUUACUACAGCUUGGCACUGAACAUUGAACCUACAUGUGUAGGAUAGGUGGGAGGCUAUGAAGACGUGACGCCAGUUGCGUUGGAGCCGUCCUUGAAAUACCACCCUUGUAUGUUUGAUGUUCUAACUUAGACCCAUUAUCUGGGUUGAGGACAGUGCCUGGUGGGUAGUUUGACUGGGGCGGUCUCCUCCCAAAGAGUAACGGAGGAGCACGAAGGUGGGCUAAUCACGGUUGGACAUCGUGAGGUUAGUGCAUGGCAUAAGCCCGCUUAACUGCGAGAAUGACGGUUCGAGCAGGUGCGAAAGCAGGUCAUAGUGAUCCGGUGGUUCUGUAUGGAAGGGCCAUCGCUCAACGGAUAAAAGGUACUCCGGGGAUAACAGGCUGAUACCGCCCAAGAGUUCAUAUCGACGGCGGUGUUUGGCACCUCGAUGUCGGCUCAUCACAUCCUGGGGCUGAAGUCGGUCCCAAGGGUAUGGCUGUUCGCCAUUUAAAGUGGUACGCGAGCUGGGUUUAGAACGUCGUGAGACAGUUCGGUCCCUAUCUGCCGUGGGCGUUGGAAGAUUGAAGGGGGCUGCUCCUAGUACGAGAGGACCGGAGUGGACGAACCUCUGGUGUUCGGGUUGUGUCGCCAGACGCAUUGCCCGGUAGCUAAGUUCGGAAUUGAUAAGCGCUGAAAGCAUCUAAGCGCGAAGCGAGCCCUGAGAUGAGUCUUCCCUGACAGUUUAACUGUCCUAAAGGGUUGUUCGAGACUAGAACGUUGAUAGGCAGGGUGUGUAAGCGUUGUGAGGCGUUGAGCUAACCUGUACUAAUUGCCCGUGAGGCUUAACCAU